AAUGAACGCUGGCGGCGUGCUAACACAUGCAAGUCGAGCGAGAAAGCCCCUUCGGGGGUGAGUAAAGCGGCGGACGAGUGAGUAACACGUGAGGACCUGCCCUUUAGUGAGGAAUACCCUCGAGAAAUCGAGGUUAAUGCUGCAUACGUUUUCCCAGGGAAACCUGGGAAGGGAAAGGUGGCUUUUAUGCUACCGCUAGAGGAUGGCCUUGUGGCCUAUCAGCUUGUUGGUGGGGUAAUGGCCCACCAAGGCGAUGACGGGUAGCCGGCCUGAGAGGGUGAUCGGUCACGCUGGAACUGAGAUACGGUCCAGACUCCUACGGGAGGCAGCAGUGAGGAAUCUUGCGCAAUGGGCGAAAGCCUGACGCAGGACGCCGGUGGGGGAUGAAGGUCUUCGGAUCGUAAACUCCUGUUAAGUGGGAAGAAAAGCUCAUCUCUAAUAUAGAUGAGUCAUGACGGUACCACUAGAGAAAGCACCGGCUAACUUCGUGCCAGACAGC
rnacentral:rRNA from 1 species